rnacentral:hammerhead_ribozyme from 1 species
AUCCAGUUGAAGAAUUCCAAAUAGGAUGAAACGCGCGUCCUCGAU